AAGUCGAACGGCAGCGCGGGGAGCUUGCUCCCUGGCGGCGAGUGGCGGACGGGUGAGUAACGCGUAGGUAUCUGCCUAGUAGUGGGGGACAACCCGGGGAAACCCGGGCUAAUACCGCAUAAGCCCUAAGGGGGAAAGCGGGGGAUCUUCGGACCUCGCGCUAUUAGAUGAGCCUGCGUCGGAUUAGCUAGUUGGUGGGGUAAUGGCUCACCAAGGCGACGAUCCGUAGCUGGUCUGAGAGGACGAUCAGCCACACUGGGACUGAGACACGGCCCAGACUCCUACGGGAGGCAGCAGUGGGGAAUAUUGGACAAUGGGCGCAAGCCUGAUCCAGCAAUGCCGCGUGUGUGAAGAAGGCCUUAGGGUUGUAAAGCACUUUCAGUAGAGAAGAAAAGCCUAAGGUUAAUAACCUUGAGUCUUGACGUUAACUACAGAAGAAGCACCGGCUAACUCUGUGCCAGCAGCCGCGGUAAUACAGAGGGUGCGAGCGUUAAUCGGAAUUACUGGGCGUAAAGGGCGCGUAGGCGGCCUGAUAAGUCGGAUGUGAAAGCCCCGGGCUCAACCUGGGAACGGCAUUCGAUACUGUCAGGCUAGAGUAUGGUAGAGGAAAGCGGAAUUCCGGGUGUAGCGGUGAAAUGCGUAGAUAUCCGGAGGAACAUCAGUGGCGAAGGCGGCUUUCUGGACCAAUACUGACGCUGAGGCGCGAAAGCGUGGGGAGCGAACAGGAUUAGAUACCCUGGUAGUCCACGCCCUAAACGAUGAGAACUAGCCGUUGGGGACAUUUAAGUCCUUAGUGGCGCAGCUAACGCGUUAAGUUCUCCGCCUGGGGA
rnacentral:rRNA from 1 species